GACAUAGGUCGCAAACGUUAUCCGGAAUUAUUGGGCGUAAAGGAUGCGUAGAUGGUUCAGGAAGUUACUGGUGGGAAAUCGAGGCCCAACCUCGUGGAAGUUAGUAAUACUGUUGAACUUGAGUGCAGGAGAGGUUAAUGGAACUUCAUGUGGAGCGGUAAAAUGCGUAGAUAUAUGAAAGAACAUCAAUAUAGCGAAGGCAGUUAACUAUUCUGCUACUGACAUUGAGGCAUGAAAGCGUGGGGAGCAAAACGG
rnacentral:rRNA from 1 species